CGUUUUUUUCGCCAUCAUGUGCAGUGUCCAAGUAGCACAGGCGUCGUGACAGGCGAGGAUCUGCCUUAGCUAACUCUAGCUCCAUCAGAAGGUCACUAAGCUCUUGCAGCUUACGAUUGUCUUUGUUAAUUACUUUUGGGAAAUUUUGCAGUCUCUUAAACAAGGCGCUUUCUAUGGCUUCAGAGAUCCCAUAGGUUUGCUCAAGCCUUCCCCAGGCCGCAGUAAGGCCUGCAUCUGGGUAGUCAACAUGUACAGCUCUCUUUACUCGAUCGGCAGACUCUGGACCAAGCCACUUAAUAAGUAAAUCAAGUUCCUCUUUGGCUGUGAGGUUGAGGUCGGCAAUUGCAGCUUUAAAGGUUGAUCUCCAGGCUCUGUAAAUCCCUGGACAAUCAUCAAACCUUGAGAGACUGAUGUUUAUGAGCUCACAACGUAUCAUAUACCUGGCGAAGUCAGAUAGGUCUGAUCUCUCACUCUUUGGUGCCUGAGUAACUUGUGGAACCCUGGGGUUGUAUAAGCUUUCUGGCAUAUAAAGGUGAGCUGAACCAGGAUAGAAUGAAGUGGCAUGAGCAUUCAGCAGUGGUUUAGUCUCUAAGGCCUUUGCUGGCUGUAGCUUACUGCUGCAGUCCACCUGAUUGAUGGUAGGAGGCAGUAUUUUGUGCUGUGUAACCAUGUCUGUGUAGCUGACCUGUUGCUGUGCCUGCAUUUGCAGCUCUGCAGGUUGGGCACUGUAAGGAACAGCAGUGUUAAAGGUGAUAGGUAUAAGAGACUGACCUGCACUGUGGGUUGUAGGUGUUGUCCCUGGAUGUUGUAAGAUUGGUUCUUUGACAUUAGAUGCAUCCUGGUUUAGUACAUAUUUACUUGUACGUUCUACAGGAUCUUCAGACUAAACUGGAAUAAGGCAGUCCUGAUCAUGCACUCCUCCUAGUGCUUGUUCAAGAACUUUUUGAUUUGCAAUAGCUGAAGCCUUUUCUUUUUCCAUUUGAAGAAUUUCUAAUUCAACUUCCAUUUCUGCCUUUUUGCGGGCAGCUUCUGCUUGCUGGCGUGCCGCCUCAGUUUCAGCUUCAGCUUCCUUGCCUCUCUUUUAGCAAAGGUAACUUGCACCUUGGCUGCUUCUGCAUUAGCAGGGGCCUCUAUAAGCUUGUCACUCAGUGUUGAUUUCCUAGAGUGAGAGGUUUUAGAAGAUUGUGAUGUAAGCCUUGAUGAUGUGUAUCUGUGAGACCUGGUCUCUUGCAGGUGUGCAAUCCUGAGCUCUGCCUUCUCUUAAGCACUUAGCACCAGAAGGUCUCUCUCCUGAUCUAAGGCCUCAGUUUUACUUAGCUCUGCUAAGGAUUCCACUAUUUUAGCGUCCCUUAAGAAAGAAGUAUACUUAGCGGACAGACGCUGAUAACGCUCAUAGGUGGAAGAUAAGCGAUUUAUACCAUCUCUUAAAUCAGCUGCAUCAUUAUUAGAAUGUGAAAGAACUGACAUGCAGUGCACAGUUCUAUUCCAUAGGUCUGAUAAACUGCUUGACAACUCAUCCCUUGUAGCCUCAUAGUUUUCUCUAGACUUUUGAGAUGGUUUUUUUUUUUUGUAUUUCACCAAAAUCUUUAUUGCAAUAAUAAGUCCAAAGUUACACAUACAUUUAUGUAAGUAUUCAUUUAACAAUCUUAAUACCUUCUUAAGUAUUGUUAAGGCACUUAAAGGGAAAAAAAAGGAGAAAAGAGAUGAGCAAAGGGAGAGAGCAGGAAGAACAAGGAGCUGAAUACGUAUAACUUAAAAACCUUUGGAGGGACUCCGGACUGUCUGUGAAGACCGAAACAAAAAGGGAGUCAUAGGGAGAAGAGAAGAAAGAUAGAAGAAGUCAGAAUUGAAGUCGUUUGGCACAUAUUUGGUGAGUAUUAGGUAUCUCGUUGUGGCGUUCAUAUGCAAUAUUCUAUAUCAUUUUACAGCUUUUUAUGAGAAUGCAGAUAGGAUAUCCAAGGUCUCCAGGUUAAUAAAUACUCCUGUUGUUUUUCAUGUAUUGAAGAGGUACUCUCUUCCAUUGUGCAGAUAUCAUUUAUAUUCGUGAACCAAUCCUCUAUUGUUGGUGGAUUUACAUCCCUCCAAUGUUUAGGAAUUAGAGUCUUUGCUGCAAGUAGCAGCUGUAGGAGGAGGCUGUGCUUAAAUAUAUGCUCUGGUAAAUCUGUGUGGUAUAGAAGUACUAAUUGAGGAGUAAGUAUCACCUGGGUACCUAGGAUCUCCUGGAUAAUCAUUUGCACAUUGUUCCAAAAGUGGGAUAGUACUGGGCAUGAAAUCCAAAUGUGAGGGAUUGUACCCUGGGCAGAGUUACAUCUCCAGCAUCUGUCAUGUGGUAAUAGACCCAUUUGGUGCAGUUGCGACGGGGUUCUAUACCAUUUUGAGAGUAUCUUAUAUGAGUUCUCUUGAUAUCUGUUACUUAUAGAAAUAAGUAAAAAUUUUUCCCCAUUCUUCUUCUUGCAGGUUCAGUUGCAGUUCCGUAUUCCAGAUGCGUGUGAAGUAAGGAGUGUUCAAGCCAUUCACAUUGAGGGACACAAUUUUCAAAUUAUCCGCCAUCAUACAUAUCAAGAAACGGAGGAGUCCCCGUCGGAUUCCGGAUCAGAGUCUCUCCCUCCCGCCUCUGCCGCACUAGGCCUUUGUGCGCAUCGCUCGUCUCCAUCGUCUGAGGGUGUCAGAAAUUUUUUUAAGAGUUUCUGCGACUCGGUCUGCAGCGGAGCUCCAGCGCUACGCGUCCAUCUUGGUUAGCAGUUGGCCACGCCCCCCCGACUUUUGAGAUGGUUUUAUUAUAUGCUUGGGUCUGACACUUUGCUCUGCAGUCUAUGUGGAAUUUACUUGCUCAGAUUCAACUGCAAAUGACACAGCCUUGCUGGGAAAUUUGACACUUUUGGUAAAAAAAGUUUACUGUCUCUUAUAGCAGUGAUAGUAAUGCAGGACAAACUGCAGUAGUGUUAUAGCAGGACCCAGAUGGUGUAUUUGGCCAGUUAUACGGCAGCUUAAUAUUCACAGGAUACAGACUGCGCUUGUAUAAUCAGGUGCUUGCAGGGAGUUGUGAGCUUGCAUUAACUUGUGUGCAGACUGAAUACAAAUAGCUUACCAGGGAGUGGAGACUUGAUGGAAAAUGCAGAUUAGAGACAUUUUAUUCCUUUUGACUAUUCUGACUCCAAAUGCUGUGAUAAUGGCUGAGUUUCCCCUGAGACCCCUCUCCCUGGGCCUGUAUGGAGCUGGGCACAACCACUGUG